UACGGAGGGUGCAAGGCGUUAUCCGGAUUUACUGGGUUUAAAGGGAGCGUAGGUGGGUCGGUAAGUCAGUGGUGAAAUCUUCGAGCUUAACUCGGAAACUGCCAUUGAUACUAUCGAUCUUGAAUUAUCUGGAGGUAAGCGGAAUAUGUCAUGUAGCGGUGAAAUGCUUAGAUAUGACAUAGAACACCCAUUGCGAAGGCAGCUUACUACGGAUAUAUUGACACUGAGGCUCGAAAGCGUGGGGAUCAAACAGG
rnacentral:rRNA from 1 species